GACGAACGCUGGCGGCGUGCUUAACACAUGCAAGUCGAACGGAAAGGCCAUGCUUUUGUGGGGUGCUCGAGUGGCGAACGGGUGAGUAACACGCGAGUAACCUGCCCUUGACUUUGGGAUAACUUCAGGAAACUGGGGCUAUUACAGGAUAGGAGCUCCUGCUGCAUGGUGGGGGUUGGAAAGAUUCGGCGGUUGGGGAUGGACUCGCGGCUUAUCAGCUUGUUGGUGGAGUAGUGGCUUACAAAGGCUUUGACGGGUAGCCGGCCUGAGAGGGUGACCGGCCACAUUGGGACUGAGGUACGGCCCAGACUCCAACGGGCGGCAGCAGUGGGGAAUAUUGCACAAUGAGCGGAAGCCUGAUGCAGCAACGCCGCGUGCGGAAUGACGGCCUUCGGGUUGUAAACCGCUUUCGCCUGUGACGAAGCGUGAGUGACGGUAAUGGGUAAAGAAGCACCGGCUAACUACGUG
rnacentral:rRNA from 1 species